AUUGAACGCUGGCGGCAGGCCUAACACAUGCAAGUCGAACGGUAACAGGAAGAAGCUUGCUUCUUUGCUGACGAGUGGCGGACGGGUGAGUAAUGUCUGGGAAACUGCCUGAUGGAGGGGGAUAACUACUGGAAACGGUAGCUAAUACCGCAUAACGUCGCAAGACCAAAAAGGGGGACCUUCGGGCCUCUUGCCAUCGGAUGUGCCCAGAUGGUAUUAGCUAGUAGGUGGGGUAACGGCUCACCUAGGCGACGAUCCCUAGCUGGUCUGAGAGGAUGACCAGCCACACUGGAACUUAGACACGGUCCAGACUCCUACGGGAGGCAGCAGUGGGGAAUAUUGCACAAUGGGCGCAAGCCUGAUGCAGCCAUGCCGCGUGUAUGAAGAAGGCCUUCGGGUUGUAAAGUACUUUCAGCGGGGAGGAAGGGAGUAAAGUUAAUACCUUUGCUCAUUGACGUUACCCGCAGAAGAAGCACCGGCUAACUCCGUG
rnacentral:rRNA from 1 species